rnacentral:lncRNA from 1 species
GGAGAAUCUAAAAGUGGAAAGGGGGUUAAAAGCCGUAUAUGCACCAGUGAUGAUAAAUACUGGAGUGGGAUGCAUCGACGGCCGCCGCCAUAUUGUUUCGGUCGCGCGACGCGUUUCGUGUCGUCGCGUGAUCAACACGAUGACUCGUCGCUCCCCAGGCUUGUUCGGGUUGGACGAGGUCGACAAGCGCUGCUUCGAGCAUUGUCAAGUGGCGAGCGCGUUUUUGCUUAUUUCAUUUUCCAAUAUUAAAAUUAUUUUAAUAGUUUGUCAAAUAUCGUUUGUAUAAAAAUGUCGAAUAACAUGUAAUUAUUAUUUUAUUUCUUUCAACGAAAGAAA